CAUAGUACAACUGGAUAAAGCGGAGGUGGAAGAGGAGGAAGCCAAAUGGAAGUGUGCCUUAGUGUUAUACAUCCUAGGAGACGGUCCUGGCUUCAACGCAAUGAGGAGAUUCAUCAAUCACCAUUGGUCCCAUGUCCCUGAACAAGAAUUGUUCUAUCAUGACGAAGGUUAUUAAAUUGUGAAAUUCAAAGCAGUUGCUGAUGCCAAAGAGAUACUGUGUG
rnacentral:lncRNA from 1 species